AGUGGGGAAUAUUGCGCAAUGGGCGGAAGCCUGACGCAGCGACGCCGCGUGAGGGAUGACGGCCUUCGGGUUGUAAACCUCUUUCAGCAGGGACGAAUGUGACGGUACCUGUAGAAGAAGCACCGGCUAACUACGUGCCAGCAGCCGCGGUAAUACGUAGGGUGCGAGCGUUGUCCGGAUUUAUUGGGCGUAAAGAGCUCGUAGGCGGCUUGUCGCGUCGAAUGUGAAAACCCGGGGCUCAACUCCGGGCUUGCAUUCGAUACGGGCAGGCUAGAGUUCGGUAGGGGAGUCUGGAAUUCCUGGUGUAGCGGUGAAAUGCGCAGAUAUCAGGAGGAACACCGGUGGCGAAGGCGGGACUCUGGGCCGAUACUGACGCUGAGGAGCGAAAGCGUGGGGAGCGAA
rnacentral:rRNA from 1 species